CCCUUAGAUGUUCUGGGCUGCACGCGCGCUACACUGACAUGUUCAACAAGCCUCCUAGUUCGACAGGAUUUGGGAAAUCUUUGAACGCAUGUCGUGAUAGGGAUAGAUCAUUGCAAUUAUUGAUCUUGAACGAGGAAUUCCUAGUAAACGCGAGUCAUCAGCUCGCAUUGAUUACGUCCCUGCCCUUUGUACACACCGCCCGUCGCACCUACCGAUUGAAUGUUUCGGUGAAGAUUCCGGAUAGGACUUUUUUGAUUUAUUUCAAUUCUGUCUUAAAAGCUAUCUAAACCUCAACAUUUAGAGGAAGGUGAAGUCGUAACA
rnacentral:rRNA from 1 species